GCCCGGAUAGCUCAGUCGGUAGAGCAGGGGAUUGAAAAUCCCCGUGUCCUUGGCUCGAUUCCGAGUCCGGGCACCA
rnacentral:tRNA from 1 species